rnacentral:lncRNA from 1 species
GCAGUCUCGCACACGGAACUGUACCCAAUCUACCUGCUGCCCAACCGACUUUGCAUCAACUGAGACGAGAACAGUGGAGUGUGAGCUUUGUUCCUGUCCAGUUAUCGGUGCCUGGUGCCCAUGGGCUGAUAGUGGUCAGUGUUCGGUGACGUGCGGAGACGGAACAAAGAUACAGGCUCGCGAUCGGGAGUGUACAAAUACUUGCACGUGCUCUGACUGUGUUAAACACGAGGAGAGAACAGUCACUUGCAACUGUUACCCCUGCACUUCGACUUGGAACAGCUGGUCAGGAUCGGGACGGCCGAAUGGGAAGAAACGGCCUCGAAGAUGGAGACGGCCAAGGGGACGGAAACGAAACAGAUGGUCACGGAAAAGACGGCAUCGAUGGACAGGAUAGUCUCGUCAAGACUUGGCUGUUUACUCAGCUUUAUGGAACAGAAGGCCAGACGCAUCCAUCAGCAGCUAUUCUGACAGACAUGUAGACCCUUCUCCGGAUAUCCAAAUAAAAGGUGCAACUUA